rnacentral:rRNA from 1 species
UGCCAGCCGCCGCGGUAAUACGGAGGGGGCUAGCGUUGUUCGGAAUUACUGGGCGUAAAGCGCGCGUAGGCGGCUAAGCAAGUUAGAGGUGAAAGCCCCGGGCUCAACCUGGGAAUUGCCUUUAAUACUGUUUGGCUUGAGUUCGGAAGAGGGAAGUGGAAUUUCCAGUGUAGAGGUGAAAUUCGUAGAUAUUGGAAAGAACACCAGUGGCGAAGGCGGCUUCCUGGUCCGAUACUGACGCUGAGGUGCGAAAGCGUGGGGAGCAAACAGGAUUAGAUA